CUCUGACGCUUUGCCUUGUUAUUAUUCGUUGAAAAUCUUUUAUAUGUUUGUAAACAUUCAAGUCGAUGUGGUAGUUGAUUAUUUGGAGUUGGCUUUCUGCUGCGGAAAACCACCGGUUUGUGAAUUUCCAUACACGUUUUUAGAACAGCGUUUUUGCAAAUAUAAUAGUGACCACCUUUCAUACAAUACAUAAACUACAGUUAGGAAGUUCUGUUAGAAUAUUUGCUAAUAAAUUGUUUUUAAAAGUUUUUAUUUGUAAGACUUCACAGACGAGCAACUGCUGCGGAAGGUGCGUGUUGAAGAGCUAGGUGGCACAACUAUUGCGGUUUUUAGAAACGAAAGCACGUAUGUGCGUAUUUCUACCAUUGUCUCAUGUGGUGCUACGGGCAAUUUCAUAGGUGACUUUGAGCGUUCUGUGUACGAUGGUGCAAAUACCUAGUUAAGUGUUUAACAUGUGACGGUCAUCAUGUGCCUAGUAAUGCUACCUCUGAAAUCAAUUUGACUUCCGAACUGGCUGUCCACGUCGAUACCAAUAUGCUGUACGUAGAUGCAUGCGCAACACCCACACGAGCAAGUCCUCGCGCUUUACGUCGACAAUUACACGUUUUUGAUUUCUGCCUGAAUAAGUGCAGCGUUCCAACACGAGCAAGUGCACCCACAUUCCUCAUAUUUCCACUCCGAUUCAUUACUGCGACGCCAUAGAUAACUAGAUGUGAAACU